rnacentral:rRNA from 1 species
UGGGGAAUAUUGGACAAUGGGCGAAAGCCUGAUCCAGCCAUGCCGCGUGUGUGAAGAAGGUCUUCGGAUUGUAAAGCACUUUAAGUUGGGAGGAAGUGCAGUAAGCGAAUACCUUGCUGUUUUGACGUUACCGACAGAAUAAGCACCGGCUAACUCUGUGCCAGCAGCCGCGGUAAUACAGAGGGUGCAAGCGUUAAUCGGAUUUACUGGGCGUAAAGCGUGCGUAGGCGGCUAAUUGAGUCGGAUGUGAAAUCCCGAGCUUAACUUGGGAAUUGCAUUCGAUACUGGUUAGCUAGAGUGUGGGAGAGGAUGGUAGAAUUCCAGGUGUAGCGGUGAAAUGCGUAGAGAUCUGGAGGAAUACCGAUGGCGAAGGCAGCCAUCUGGCCUAACACUGACGCUGAGGUACGAAAGCAUGGGGAGCAAACAGG